CCUUGCCCUUUGUACACACCACUUAUCGCUUCUACCGAUUGAAUGAUUUGGUGAAGUGUUCGGAUUGCAACGACAUGGGCCGUUCGUUGCCUGGGAAGUUAUAAGAAGUCCACUAAACCUUAUCAUUUAGACUUUAAAAUGAUAUGAUUUUUAACAACUCAACAAGCUUCAUGUAAAACAUUAUAGAAAAUUUUCAACUCAAUGCAAAAAUUACCACAUUGUAUAAAUUUUUCAACUCAAUGCAAAAGCUAUCACAUUGUAUAAAUACUUUCAUGAUGGAGAAUUAGGGUUCAAUUCCAAAGAGAAAGCUUGAGAAACGACUACCACAUUCAAGGAAGGCAAAAGGCAUGAAAAUUUCCCAAUCUUGAAAUGAGGAGGUAGUGAUAAAAAAUAACAAUACUUGACUUAUUGGAUUUGGUAAUUGGAAUGAGCACAAUCUAAAUCCCUUAAAAAGGAUCCAUUGGAGGGCAAACAGUUGUGGUAAUUCCAGCUCCAAUAG
rnacentral:ncRNA from 1 species